rnacentral:lncRNA from 1 species
GUGAGCCGAUUGUUGUGGAAGAGCCUCGUGAAUUAUAAAAAGAGAUGGUCCAAUUGGAGCCGGCUUAUUGGGUCAUAGUGGGCUCGGGAGGCACCGGCCCGUAAUCCUUCCACCGUCGAAAGCGGGAGGUGGACGCUGCUCUGUGAAACCAGCCUCACGCGGUCUCCUCCGCUCUAAGAGUGUCCGAACCACAAGCCUUCGCUCGAGUCAGAACACUCAACUCCCGACUUGGAACCGGGCAGGCCAGUAAAUAGCCUUUCCGAGUCCGGCCCAAAGAGAUCGGCCCAAUGUCCCAUCACUUUAUUGUCUCUACUUGGAUUACAAGCCCGCGUUACCAAGCUCGACGUACAGUGUGAGUGAGCUAAACGUAUAUAUACAACAAGCAAACAUUUGUUUUCCCCGAUGUGGAACUUUACUAGCUAAAAAGACAUUUCAGUUUCUAUACGACAGCGUUCUGCUCGCAUCUUCAGUUGCACAGUCUGAAUUAUUAAUCUUUGACUUAAUUAUUCAUUCAUCCUCAACCCUUACUUUAUCUUCAAACGGUAACAAAACCUGUAAUAACCUUCAGAGUUUGUGAAAUUGCCUCUGGGGGAUUUGAAAAUCCUGAAAACAUUUUAAUAUGUUAAUUGAUGAUAUACCACUGAGGUUGCGAUAAAUAACAGUGAUGGAGAACCAAUUCAUCUCUACCUUAUGUCACUGUCUUCUCCCUCUACCUAUUGAAUUCUUACGACUUGAACCGUUUUUGUCAGUUUUGCGUUUGAGAUAUAUAUUUUGGCUAGAUUUUCAUGUAAGCCAUUGCUUUUCAACAGAUUGUUCAAAGCUUCAGAUUCAGGAGGCACUUCUGGCAAAUGGAAUGUAACUUGAUGUUCCUGAGGAUGGAUGAUACCACUUCUUGUUGUCAUUUGCUCAUGUCUAUGAAAUUAUAGUUGCAAUCUCUGUUGUUGAUGAUCUAAUUCAAAGACCAGAUGUAGAAAGGUCUGAUUGUUUGUGUUGGUGCAGCAACCAAUGAUGGAUCCAUGAGAGAAGAUAUUGGCUUCUCUUUAUAAGCAAAAUCAUUAGACAGACACAAUCAACUGAUCAUGCAUUUAAUCCUAAUGAUGAAGUUGAUCAUUAGGCUUCAGAAACUGUGUUAUUAUGUAGUUAGAGAGAUCAUAUACUUUGACGAACAAAACAGUAUCCAUUCCACCCUAUAUAUUAUAACUUUACUGUGUAGAAUCAGUAACCUUCAAACAAAAUUUACAAGCAAAUCAAUUCUGAAGUUUCAAAUUUCAAUAGCUUCUCUCUCUCUCUUCCCAUAUAAUCAGUCGAAACAUGUGUAGAAUGCUCUCUCAAGUCUCAAGUGUGUUCCUUGAAAAUUAUAUACCUUUCUGUACAGCUUUACUGGUCUGUCUUCAGACUAAUCAACUGAAGUCUUAAUUAGCUCGGGAACUUGAUCCAGCAAACGAUUCAUGUCAUCAGGGAACUCGUUCUUGGCUCUGUUGGUUCUUCCCGAAUCAACAAAGAUCGGAGAGAAGAUGAACAGUGAAAAUGAAAUGAUUCUCGUGUUGUCUAGGGUUCUUUUGGCCCAACAAUUUGUGGUGAAAAAAAUAAAAAAAAAGUGAUGGUCCAAUUGGAGCCGGCUUAUUGGGUCAUAGUGGGCUCGGGAGGCACCGGCCCGUAAUCCUUCCACCGUCGAAAGCGGGAGGUGGACGCUGCUCUGUGAAACCAGCCUCACGCGGUCUCCUCCGCUCUAAGAGUGUCCGAACCACAAGCCUUCGCUCGAGUCAGAACACUCAACUCCCGACUUGGAACCGGGCAGGCCAGUAAAUAGCCUUUCCGAGUCCGGCCCAAAGAGAUCGGCCCAAUGUCCCAUCACUUUAUUGUCUCUACUUGGAUUACAAGCCCGCGUUACCAAGCUCGACG